AUACUUCUGGGGCAACGGAGUUACCAUGAUCACAAAGGUGAUUUUCUCAAGGUGAGGCUUCUCCAUGGCACUCCAGAUGUAUCGACCCAUGUGAUUUCCUCAAAUGCCAAAAACUACUGCAAAUUUGUGCUAUUGGAGAUCACAGCUGUACUCUCCC